GACGAACGCUGGCGGCGUGCUUAACACAUGCAAGUCGAACGGAAAGGCCCUGCUUUUGUGGGGUGCUCGAGUGGCGAACGGGUGAGUAACACGUGAGUAACCUGCCCUUGACUUUGGGAUAACUUCAGGAAACUGGGGCUAAUACCGGAUAGGAGCUCCUGCUGCAUGGUGGGGGUUGGAAAGUUUCGGCGGUUGUGGAUGGACUCGCGGCUUAUCAGCUUGUUGGUGGGGUAGUGGCAUACCAAGGCUUUGACGGGUAGCCGGCCUGAGAGGGGGACCGGCCUCCAUGGGACUGAGGUACGGCCCAGACUCCUACGGUGGGCAGCGGUGGGGAAUAUUGCCCAAUGGGCGCAAGCCUGAGGCAGCAACGCCGCGUGCGGGAUGACGGCCUUCGGGUUGUAAACCGCUUUCGCCUGUGACGAAGCGUGAGUGACGGUAAUGGGUAAAGAAGCACCGGCUAACUACGUG
rnacentral:rRNA from 1 species